rnacentral:rRNA from 1 species
UACGAAGGGGGCUAGCGUUGCUCGGAAUCACUGGGCGUAAAGCGCACGUAGGCGGCUUCUUAAGUCAGGGGUGAAAUCCUGGAGCUCAACUCCAGAACUGCCUUUGAUACUGAGAAGCUUGAGUCCGGGAGAGGUGAGUGGAACUGCGAGUGUAGAGGUGAAAUUCGUAGAUAUUCGCAAGAACACCAGUGGCGAAGGCGGCUGACUGGACACAUAUUGACGCUGAGGCUCGAAAGCAUGGGGAGCAAACAGG